rnacentral:lncRNA from 1 species
CGAUAGGGGGAGAGAAGAGGAAGAGAUAUCUCAUAAUCUCAUCUCAAAUCUCAAAUUAUUUCUGUUGGCAAGUGACAUCAAUUGUAUUUUUUAGUGAUAAAGCCUCUAAGUUUAAUCUGAUCCGCGCAGAAUUAAAAUGUUCAUUAUUUCUUUUGUAAUGAUGAUCUUAAUUGGCACCACUCCAUUAUAUAAGUGUGAAUACUGUAUUAAUCUUAUUACUUGUUAACCUCAAGAUGUCCAGGUAUAAGUAUUCGUUAUCGUUUUGCAGUGAAUUUAUCAAUAAUUUCAAGGAGCUAAAUACUCUAAAUGCAGAGUAAUGGCCCACAGUCGUUGUUCGCCUCUGGAUUUAUUCAGAAUUCAUUUUCCCCAAUCGUUGCGGUAAUUUGCAGCCCCUCUGUGGAUCAUAUCUGCCAAAAAAACAACCUGGGAUUCAUCGAGUUACUGCAACCAUUCUGGGCCGUCUAACUUCUGAAGUGAAACUCAAAGAACCAUCAGGCAGUCUCAUCUCUGUGAAGAAUCUCCGAGUUGCUUUUGUGGAUGUAAAUGCAAGACCCCCUCAACCAACACUUGCUCGUAAAUUUCUGAAUGAGUCAGUCAGUUCGCUUUGUGAUGAAAAACAAACUAGACUUGAAAUAGGUUAGUGCACCUUCAAUGCUUUAUUUCUAGAUAAGUAACAAGGUGGAGAAAUGGUGCUGGGUCCUCACCAUUUUGCGGGGAAAUCAAAGCCAAGAAUUUCUAAAACUUAUAAUUAGAGUUAAAAAUAAAUUUUUUUAGCUCUAAUGAGUAAUUCAUUUUUUCGGGUUUUCCUCGUUUUGUUAUGAGAGUUGUUCAGCAGCGACGGUAGAUAGCGCAAGAAUCACACUUUUGUGUCAUGCCUCGGGUCAUAUCCAUGACAGCUUUUAAUGCCGUCUUGGAUUUUGUGGCAUGUUAAGUUGGGUUCACUGACUAGUGUGAUCUGCUGACUAGGUCUGAAAAGACCCAAACCGGUAUAAAUCUCUCAGCGUGACUCCAACUUAAUAUUCCAAUGCAAACUGCCUGAGCUUAACUCUUUCCGCCCCUCAGUUUUGCACUGGUACUCAUUAGAGUUAAAAAAGUUUAUUUUUGACUCUAGUUAUAAUUUUUGGAAAUUCUUGGCUUUGAUUUCCCAGCGAAAUGGUGUGGACCCAGCACCGUUUCUCCACCUUGUUACAUACAGUUCGGGCCACUUCAUAGUGUUUUUUUUCUCUCAUUUCAAGUAAGUAUCACGCUUCCUAUUACUAGAAGUGAAAUUAUGACUGCACCAAUGAAGAGAAGAAUUGGAGUCGGGAGGAGCUGUCUUAGGGAACCUGGAAUCUCAAUUCUAAAACACUAUUUGCCAACAAACUUUUAAUCACUUUCAUGAAGUCCUCAAUGUCUUUUCAAUACUGUCAAUGAAUAUCAAUCAAUAAGUACCUCAUCUCUUACUGCCCAAAAUCAGUAUUUCCAAUUUUUUGUAUUGUAAGGGAAUGGCUGUAAAAGAAAGAGUAGCAACUGCAUUUUUAUGAUCUUCCUAAUUAUCUGCAAAUCAAAUCAGAAUAACUCAAAACAUAUGAAAUUCACAUGAGCCAAGUGCUGGAUAUAUCAGGAUAUGAAUAAAAAAAAGAACCAACUGGGUGUCUAACUUGAAAAUGGCUGGACUGAGGAACCUUAUACCUCAAUCGUGUUUUUCAAAAGACCCUCUGUCAUUUACCUUCAAGAUGAGAACAAAACAAACAAGUUAACUGCAUGACCAUGCUUGAAUUCAAAGGCAAGCAACAGAGGCAGUUGCUUACUUAUAGCAGCAAAUUCUGUAGGGGAAAAAACCAUUUUUAGAAUACUUUAAAAGUAACAACCUGCAGGUGAGAUUGAGGAUAAGUAAAUCUAAAUUUUCUGAAAUAGAUAUUUUGAAUUUUUUUUUUUAUUUAUUUUGUUUUUUUUAUAAUUGAAUUUUCUUGAAACUUGCCAAGAUAGCACCCCCCCCCCCCCCUCUACUCUCCACAUGACACAUAUUUCUCUUGCCAGAAUUAUGACAGGGGUAGAAAAUUCUACUUGCCUCGGGGGUCAAAAAGUCGAAUCUAGGGAUGUAAAUCACUUUACAUUUUUUCAGAAAAUUCUCUAAACAGAGAAGAAAAUUUUUGGAAAUUCUCAAUCCUUAAUCACUUUGAUCAUUUUACCAAUUAAAGUAUGAAAUAUGAUGGGAAGUCUGCAGUGUCGCAAACUGAGGUACAUUGCUUCCAAGUUUAAGCAUUAACUCCAGCUAUUGUCUAAAAAGAAUUUUUUUCUUGU